rnacentral:hammerhead_ribozyme from 1 species
GCACUGCUGAGGAGUCCCAUAAUAGGACGAAACGGCUGUUGAGUGC